UGGGGAAUCUUGCACAAUGGGCGAAAGCCUGAUGCAGCAAUGCCGCGUGAGUGAUGAAGGCCUUCGGGUUGUAAAUCUCUGUCGGCUGGGACAAAAGAUUUCGUAACUAACACUUACGAGAAGUGAUGGUACCAGCAAAGGAAGGGGCGGCUAACUCUGUGCCAGCAGCCGCGGUAAUACAGAGGCCUCGAGCGUUGUUCGGAAUUACUGGGCGUAAAGGGAAUGUAGGUGGUUGUGUAAGUCAGAUGUGAAAGCCCCGGGCUUAACCUGGGAAGUGCAUUUGAUACUGCAUGACUGGAGCGUAGAAGAGGAGAGCGGAAUUCCUAGUGUAGGAGUGAAAUCCGUAGAUAUUAGGAGGAAUACCGAUGGCGAAGGCAGCUCUCUGGUCUAUUGCUGACAC
rnacentral:rRNA from 1 species